UUACUUUCUCUUUCUUCCUCAUCCAUUCAGCCCAACAGCUUCGUCCGCCCGACUGCUGCCUCCUCUCUCUGUCUCCCUCGUCCGCCGUCACCUCGUCCUCAGCUUGCACCGCCGCUUCCUCCCUCGCGUGCGUGCGCGCGACUGCUGCAGCCAAUGGUGGUGGCCGGUGGCGAGGUGGUCCGGCCGCCAAUGGUGGUGCACCGGCUGGCCACUACUCGAGCUCCAAUGUUUGACAACAUGGGUCAUGAAUGGCAUCAAGCUUCACGCGAUGUGCACUAUGAGAAAGCAAGUGAUGAUGAAGCAACACAAAGUGAGGCAGAAAUUGUAUUUGUGCAAACACCUUCUUGCAAAGCUCCCAAGCGCAAACCAACUCGUAAAUUUCCAAGAUCAAAGUCUAGGGGCAAUGGUACUUGAAGGAAAUCUGAAGAAGAUGUAUCGGUUGGAAGUGAAGGCACAAGGAGAUGAGAUGAUUGAGUAGUCAAAGGUUUGAGCUAGCGAGAGCGAUUUACAGGAUUAUCCCAAUUGACUCGAUUUGGACAGUAACCCUCAUGCUCUACAUCCUUCACAAAGUUUUCUUAUCAUCACUUUAAUAUUCUCAUAAUAUAUGGAGCAUGAGUGCAACUCUUGAGAGAGUACCAAGAUGUGACGCGGAUUUCUUCCCAAAUGAUGUGAAACAUAGUAAAAUGUCUUCAACUAGCAUCUUCAUGAAAGAAAUAGAGAAAUAUCUUAUAUGAAUGUUGAACAUUGGUUUGCUUA